ACUCCUACGGGAGGCAGCAGUGGGGAAUUUUGCGCAAUGGGGGAAACCCUGACGCAGCAACGCCGCGUGAGUGAUGAAGGCCCUUGGGUCGUAAAGCUCUGACAGAGGGAAAGAAGUGUAGAGUGGCUAAUAUCCACAUUACUUGACGGUACCCUCAAAGGAAGCACCGGCUAACUCCGUGCCAGCAGCCGCGGUAAUACGGGGGGUGCAAGCGUUGUUCGGAUUUAUUGGGCGUAAAGCGCGUGUAGGCGGUCUUUUAAGUCUGAUGUGAAAGCCCUGGGCUCAACCCGGGAAGUGCAUUGGAAACUGGGAGACUUGAAUACGGGAGAGGGUAGUGGAAUUCCUGGUGUAGGAGUGAAAUCCGUAGAUAUCAGGAGGAACACCGGUGGCGAAGGCGGCUGCCUGGACCGAUAUUGACGCUGAGACGCGAAAGCGUGGGGAGCAAACAGGAUUAGAUACCCUGGUAGUCCACGCCGUAAACGAUGAGAACUAGGUGUCGCGGGUA
rnacentral:rRNA from 1 species